UACGAGGGGGGCGAGCGUUGUUCGGAAUUACUGGGCGUAAAGAGUGUGUAGGCGGUGUUCCCAGUCUGUUGUGAAAUCUCCCGGCUUAACUGGGAGGGUGCAGCGGAAACUAGAAUGCUAGAGGGUGGGAGAGGUAAGCGGAAUUCCUGGUGUAGCGGUGAAAUGCGUAGAUAUCAGGAGGAACACCUGUGGUGUAGACAGCUUACUGGACCACUUCUGACGCUGAGACACGAAAGCGUGGGUAGCAAACAGG
rnacentral:rRNA from 1 species